AAUUUUUAUUUUACCAAGGAGCAAAACUGAGUAAGUUUCCUGACGAAAAUAAUGAGUGUCUACUGUUCUAGGGCCUUUAACAACAACAACAACAAAUUUACAUUAACGCACAUUAUGUGCCAGGAAUUGCAAGAUGCAUAAGAUUAGUUUUUAAAAUGUGCCUGCUAGAGCUGAACAGGUAACGAGAGUUCGAAGCCGGGUCCAGAGCUAUCUUCUGUAACAUUCUUCUGGGUCGAGUCCCUGCCCCGCUACGAGACUAUACGUAACAUGGACCUGGAAAAGCUUAAAAAUAUGAAGAGGAUUGAACUGGCUGCCAUCUGUGCAUCUUCAUUUAUGAAAACACUCCUCAUAGACUUAAAACAAAUGACAGAGAACAAAUUAGUCAGCUUCUUCUAAAAUACAGUGGUCUCCCCUUACCCUCAGUUUCACUUUCUGCAGUCAACUGCAGUCCGAAAAUACUACAUACAAUUAGAUAUUCGGAGAGAGAGACACCACAUUUACAUAAAUGUUAUUUCAGUAUACUGUUAUAAUUGUUCUAUUUUUAUUAGUUGUUGUUGUUACUGUGCCUAACUUACACAUUAAACUUUAUCACAGGUAUGUAUGUAUAGGAAAAAACAUAGACUAUAUAGGAUUUGGUACUAUCCACGGUUUCAGGCAUCCACUGGGGGUCUUGGAACGCAUCCCCCUCAGAUAAGGGGGGACUACUGUAAACAGAAAAUAACAACAAUUCAAAUUGUUAAAAACAAUUCUUGAAAGUUAUCCUUUACAAUAGAUUAAUAUAUAUGAUCUGAGCUGAAAGAAUGGCAAGCAAUGGAGACAAUAUUUCUCUUCUGUUUCUAGUAGAUAUUUUCAAUUUUAAGCAUAGUUUUAAAAAGUACAACCCUCUUUUAAGGGCUUAAACCAAGGUGGCUGUGCUGAUUGGCUUAGCUGGCUAGUUCACAGUGCCAAGGACAGGGUUUCAAUCUCAUUCUUCUCAGUUGUCCUGCCAGAGAUUGUUCUUUCAGACCAGGCCAGCCAUUUGACAGAUGUAAGCCACUGGCCUCAAGGAACACAAGCCAGACAGUGGUGGUCAAUGCAAACCUUGAGCAUCACUGGAAAAAUUAAGCAGGUGUCCUACUGCAUUAUUUCCAUACAUAGAAAAACCACAGAAAUACAUUCUAUUUUUAAAGAGUUGUUUUUCAACUAUUAAUACCUAUAAGGUUUAAAAAUAUUUUCAGAGAAAAAAAAUUUAGCAACUAGAAUUUAUAAUGCUACCAUUUACUAUCAUUAUUUGUCCUUCACUUCAUUUGUCACCUUACCAGAGAAUUCCUUGCCACUCUCAUCUCCUUAAUCUGCUUAUUUUUCUUCUUACUACUUUCCACUAACUGAUGUUAUAUUAAAUAUUUAUUUAUUUGGUGUCUGCCUCUCCCAACUAGAAUGUGAGCUGCCUGACAGAGCAAGGCCUUAGCUUGGUGUGUGUUUCUGGUAUAUCUUCAGGGCCCAGAACAGGGCCUGGCACACCCACAACUGAAUAAACUUUUGAUGAAUUCUGUCACAUAUUUAUUACAGGAGCUUAAUUCAUGGAUAUCUUUAACAGGACAUCAAAAACAGUAGAUCAUUUACAAGCCAAGAACAUACUGCUAACUAUUGAACCAGAAUGUAUUUGUUGUCUAUAGGCAGCAGCCUAUAUAGCAAAAGAACUCAAGACUUUUGACAUAGCCCUUCCAAGUUUCAAAGGUGUGCAACAUCUUCACCAUUUAUUUCCAUGGGAUCAUUCAAUGUGGGUGACAUUUAGACACUGAAAGCAGGGCAGUGGGACUGGCUAUUCAAUUCAUCCUCAGUAAUAAAAUCUAAAAUUAUCAAAA
rnacentral:lncRNA from 1 species